rnacentral:rRNA from 1 species
CCUACGGGUGGCAGCAGUGAGGAAUAUUGGUCAAUGGCCGGAAGGCUGAACCAGCCAAGCCGCGUGAGGGACGAAGGUGCCAAGCAUUGUAAACUUCUUUUGUCGAGGGACAAAAUCAGGCUCGAGAGCCUGACCGAGGGUACUUGAAGAAAAAGCAUCGGCUAACACCGUUCCAGCAGCCGCGGUAAUACGGAGGAUGCGAGCGUUGUCCGGAUUUAUUGGGUUUAAAGGGUGCGUAGGCGGGCUGUUAAGUCAGCGGUAAAAGCCCGGGGCUCAACCCCGACGAGCCGUUGAAACUGGGUGACUUGAGAGGUGGAGAGGUAUGCGGAAUGCGCAGUGUAGCGGUGAAAUGCUUAGAUAUUGCGCAGAACUCCGAUUGCGAAGGCAGCAUACCGGCGGGGAUCUGACGCUGAGGCACGAAAGCGUGGGUAUCGAACAGGAUUAGAUACCCUUGUAGUC